GUCCUAGUAGUUUAAAAAAAAAUAUUGGUCUUGUAAACCAAAAAUGAAGGUUUCAUCCCCUCCUAGGACA
rnacentral:tRNA from 1 species